AACGAGGCCGACCUGCGGCUGAGUUACCUGCGGAAGGAUCAUUACAAGUGACCCCGGUUUACCACCGGGAUGUUCAUAACCCUUUGUUGUCCGACUCUGUUGCCUCCGGGGCGACCCUGCCUUCGGGCGGGGGCUCCGGGUGGACACUUCAAACUCUUGCGUAACUUUGCAGUCUGAGUAAACUUAAUUAAUAAAUUAAAACUUUCAACAAUGGAUCU
rnacentral:misc_RNA from 1 species